UGGGGAAUCUUGCGCAAUGGACGAAAGUCUGACGCAGCGACGCCGCGUGGGUGAUGAAGGCCUUCGGGUUGUAAAGCCCUGUGGGGAGGGACGAAUAAGUCAUGGCUAAUAUCCAUGGUGAUGACGGUACCUCUUUAGCAAGCACCGGCUAACUCUGUGCCAGCAGCCGCGGUAAGACAGAGGGUGCAAACGUUGUUCGGAAUUACUGGGCGUAAAGCGCGUGUAGGCGGUGCGGUAAGUCGGGUGUGAAAGCCCUGGGCUCAACCCAGGAAGUGCAUUCGAUACUACCGUACUAGAGUCCCGGAGAGGUUGGUGGAACUCUCGGUGUAGAGGUGAAAUUCGUAGAUAUCGAGAAGAACACCGGUGGCGAAGGCGGCCAACUGGACGGUGACUGACGCUGAGACGCGAAAGCGUGGGGAGCAAACAG
rnacentral:rRNA from 1 species